rnacentral:rRNA from 1 species
AUUGAACGCUGGCGGCAUGCCUUACACAUGCAAGUCGAACGGCAGCGGGGGAGAAGCUUGCUUUUCCUGCCGGCGAGUGGCGAACGGGUGAGUAAUACAUCGGAACGUGCCCUGUAGUGGGGGAUAACUAGUCGAAAGAUUAGCUAAUACCGCAUACGACCUGAGGGUGAAAGUGGGGGACCGCAAGGCCUCAUGCUAUAGGAGCGGCCGAUGUCUGAUUAGCUAGUUGGUGGGGUAAAGGCCUACCAAGGCGACGAUCAGUAGCUGGUCUGAGAGGACAAUCAGCCACACUGGGACUGAGACACGGCCCAGGCUGCGACGGGAGGCAGCAGUGGGGAAGUUUGGACAAUGGGCGAAAGCCUGAUCCAGGCAUUCCGCGUGUGUGAAGAAGGCCUUCGGGUUGUAAAGCACUUUUGUCCGGAAAGAAAUGGCUCUGGUUAAUACCUGGGGUCGAUGACGGUACCGGAAGAAUAAGGACCGGCUAACUACGUGCCAGCCGCCGCAGUAAUAC